GAUGAACGCUGGCGGCGUGCUUAACACAUGCAAGUCGAACGGUGAACGAGGGAGCUUGCUCCCUCCGGAUCAGUGGCGAACGGGUGAGUAACACGUGAGCAAUCUGCCCUGGACUCUGGGAUAAGCGUUGGAAACGACGUCUAAUACCGGAUACGAGGCGUGGGGGCAUCCCCAACGCCUGGAAAGAACUUCGGUCCAGGAUGAGCUCGCGGCCUAUCAGCGUGUUGGUGAGGUAACGGCUCACCAAGGCGACGACGGGUAGCCGGCCUGAGAGGGUGACCGGCCAGACUGGGACUGAGACACGGCCCAGACUCCUACGGGAGGCAGCAGUGGGGAAUAUUGCACAAUGGGCGCAAGCCUGAUGCAGCAACGCCGCGUGAGGGACGACGGCCUUCGGGUUGUAAACCUCUUUUAGCAGGGAAGAAGCGAAAGUGACGGUACCUGCAGAAAAAGCACCGGCUAACUACGUGCCAGCCGCCGCGGUAAAAC
rnacentral:rRNA from 1 species